GUGGUGAUCACCAACUCUUUCAAGUAAAAUCAUGUUCUAUUAUUCAAUAAACUUUUCCUUAAGUUGCUUAUGUUGAUGUGUUUCAUACUUAGUUAGUUCUUGGUUUCAUACUUAGUUAAUUCUUGGUUUAAUGUUGAUUUGGGUUAUUUUGUUAAAAUUUCACAGCAGCACUGGCCAAUAUGGUCUGCUCCUGCUUCAUUGCGACUGAUUCUGUUAUUUGAAACUCUGUGCUUAACCUUAUUUUCUU
rnacentral:misc_RNA from 1 species